CCCUUGUCGCCUUAGUGUCGCCUUUCGCUUUGAUAACACUGGCAUGUAGACAAUAUCCUUCAAUUCAAUAUGCCUAUUUUUGCUGAUUCCAACUUCAAACAAAAAUAAACACAAAUAAAAUAGUCAAGCUCAUUCACAACCACCUAGCAUCACCAUCCUCAACUGUUUCACUAAAUAAGAAAGGGUCAAAAGCUCAUUACAGUGUUUUUAAAACCAAAAAAGAGUUGAAUCAGUCUGGUAUCCAGUUCAAGGUUCAAAUGGUCUGACCGGUUUGAUAGGUCUGGUUCAAUAACAUUUUCAGAAACACUACCUUUUUAUGUUUUAUAUAUAAAUAAAAGAAUGAAAACCUAGCAGCAACCCUUCCCCCUCCCCUCACCUCCCUUCUCUCAUUUCUAUCCCUCUAUCUCCAUCUCCCUUUGCCUCCCCACUUCCUCUAUCUCCCUCUCACCUCAAAAUCCACAGCUACACGGCUACACCCAGCCUCCUCCAUAGAAAAUUAUUACUACCAUGGUGUCUCCCCUUCCUUGACCAAAUGCUUCGAUGGCUGUAACAACAAGCCAAUCUCCUACGUGAGUGCUGGUGCAACUGCAAUUCUUCCAAUUCUCCUUUGCCCAUCUUUACAGCUAUAGGAGGAGUUGGGAGGUGAAAGAAUUUUCUUGAGCAACUCGCCCUUACAUCUUUGAUCUUGGAAAGGCCUACAUGAUUUGAAUGUAGGCACUAUUGUUAAGGCGUGCCUUAGCACAACCUCGGCACCUCCAGUGGCAAAAGGCGGGCAACAUCAUCCAGGCUCACACCUGGUUGCCUAUUGUUGUUUUGUAAUUGUUGCAAGUCUUUUGGUUUAACACAAAUAGAGGUGGGUUUUUCUCUUAACCGUGAUUGAUAGGGUUUUUUUUGCAUCUAAGGACCUAUUUGGCAUUGCUGUUAAAAAAAACACUUUUUUAAAUGCACUAGUUAAAGACUAGUAAAAAUAAGUUAAAAUUAAUUUGAUAAAUUUUAAUCAUAAGAAUACUAAAAUAACAAA
rnacentral:misc_RNA from 1 species